rnacentral:lncRNA from 1 species
GGACAUGAGGGACAGGGCCAGCGCCAUCCCCUUGGUUAUGACGCCGGGCACCGCCUCGGCGUACUUGAUGGUGGCCAGCGACGCCGUCGUCAUUGGGAAGGUGUACGACCACCACGCCACCGAGAACCUGCGCCACCGGCGAGGAAGUAAGCGCUAAACACGACCGCCCGAUUGCAGCAGGUUGGCUCGAUAACAUGAGGCUCUCUUUAUGUUCAUCAGGCAGGAAAUGGGUCUUCACCUGAAGCCGCGGAAGAAGUUGAUGCGGACGACGAGGGAGAUGUAGAGGAAGAGGGCGAUGAAGUAGCAGGUGCGGGAGACCUCGUCGAACUGGCCGUAGAUGUUCCCCCAGGCGAUGCUGGCGGCGGAGG